rnacentral:rRNA from 1 species
AACGAACGCUGGCGGCAGGCUUAACACAUGCAAGUCGAACGCAUCCUUCGGGGUGAGUGGCAGACGGGUGAGUAACGCGUGGGAACGUGCCCUUCAGUUCGGGAUAACCCAGGGAAACUUGGGCUAAUACCGGAUACGUGCGAGAGCAGAAAGAUUUAUCGCUGAGGGAUCGGCCCGCGUCUGAUUAGCUAGUUGGUGGGGUAAUGGCCCACCAAGGCGACGAUCAGUAGCUGGUCUGAGAGGAUGAUCAGCCACAUUGGGACUGAGACACGGCCCAAGCUCCUACGGGAGGCAGCAGUGGGGAAUAUUGGACAAUGGGCGCAAGCCUGAUCCAGCCAUGCCGCGUGAGUGAUGACGGCCUUCGGGUUGUAAACCUCUUUUAGUAGGGAAGAAGCGAAAGUGACGGUACCUGCAGAAAAAGCACCGGCUAACUACGUGCCAGCCGCCGCUGUAA